rnacentral:rRNA from 1 species
GUAGGUGGCAAGCGUUGUCCGGAAUUAUUGGGCGUAAAGCGCGCGCAGGCGGUCCUUUAAGUCUGAUGUGAAAGCCCACGGCUCAACCGUGGAGGGUCAUUGGAAACUGGGGGACUUGUGUACAGAAGAGGAAAGCGGAAUUCCAAGUGUAGCGGUGAAAUGCGUAGAGAUUUGGAGGAACACCAGUGGCGAAGGCGGCUUUCUGGUCUGUAACUGACGCUGAGGCGCGAAAGCGUGGGGAGCAAACAGGGGUUAGAUGCCCUGGUAGUCCACGCCGUAAACGAUGAGUGCUAAGUGUUAGGGGGUUUCCCGCCCCCCUUAGUGCUGCAGCUAACGCAUUAAGCACUCCGCCUGGGGAGUACGGCCGCAAGGCUG